rnacentral:rRNA from 1 species
GCGUGAGUGAAGAAGGCCUUAGGGUUGUAAAGCUCUUUCAGCGGGGAAGAUAAUGACGGUACCCGCAGAAGAAGCCCCGGCUAACUUCGUGCCAGCAGCCGCGGUAAUACGAAGGGGGCUAGCGUUGUUCGGAAUUACUGGGCGUAAAGCGCGCGUAGGCGGAUCGCUAAGUCAGGGGUGAAAUCCCAGGGCUCAACCCUGGAACUGCCUUUGAUACUGGCGAUCUGGAGAUCGGGAGAGGUUGGUGGAAUUCCGAGUGUAGAGGUGAAAUUCGU